rnacentral:rRNA from 1 species
CAUGCAAGUCGAGCGGAAACGAAGAGUAGCUUGCUACUCUGGCGUCGAGCGGCGGACGGGUGAGUAAUGCUUGGGAACAUGCCUUGAGGUGGGGGACAACAGUUGGAAAUGACUGCUAAUACCGCAUAAUGUCUACGGACCAAAGGGGGCUUCGGCUCUCGCCUUUAGAUUGGCCCAAGUGGGAUUAGCUAGUUGGUGAGGUAAUGGCUCACCAAGGCGACGAUCCCUAGCUGGUUUGAGAGGAUGAUCAGCCACACUGGGACUGAGACACGGCCCAGACUCCUACGGGAGGCAGCAGUGGGGAAUAUUGCACAAUGGGCGCAAGCCUGAUGCAGCCAUGCCGCGUGUGUGAAGAAGGCCUUCGGGUUGUAAAGCACUUUCAGUCAGGAGGAAAGGUUAGUAGUUAAUACCUGCUAGUUGUGACGUUACUGACAGAAGAAGCACCGGCUAACUCCGUGCCAGCAGCCGCGGUAAUACGGAGGGUGCGAGCGUUAAUCGGAAUUACUGGGCGUAAAGCGUACGCAGGCGGUUUGUUAAGCGAGAUGUGAAAGCCCCGGGCUCAACCUGGGAACUGCAUUUCGAACUGGCAAACUAGAGUGUGAUAGAGAGUGGUAGAAUUUCAGGUGUAGCGGUGAAAUGCGUAGAGAUCUGAAGGAAUACCGAUGGCGAAGGCAGCCACCUGGGUCAACACUGACG